AGUGAACGCUGGCGUAGGCCUAACACAUGCAAGUCGAACGGCAGCACCGGAGAGCUGCUCUCUAGGUGGCGAGUGGCGGACGGGGUGAGGAAUACAUCGGAAUCUACUUUGUCGUGGGGGAUAACGUAGGGAAACUUACGCUAAUACCGCAUACGACCUACGGGUGAAAGCAGGGGAUCUUCGGACCUUGCGCGAUUGAAUGAGCCGAUGUCGGAUUAGCUAGUUGGCGGGGUAAAGGCCCACCAAGGCGACGAUCCGUAGCUGGUCUGAGAGGAUGAUCAGCCACACUGGAACUGAGACACGGUCCAGACUCCUACGGGAGGCAGCAGUGGGGAAUAUUGGACAAUGGGCGCAAGCCUGAUCCAGCCAUACCGCGUGGGUGAAGAAGGCCUUCGGGUUGUAAAGCCCUUUUGUUGGGAAAGAAAUCCAGCCGGCUAAUACCUGGUUGGGAUGACGGUACCCAAAGAAUAAGCACCGGCUAACUUCGUGCCAGCAGCCGCGGUAAUACGAAGGGUGCAAGCGUUACUCGGAAUUACUGGGCGUAAAGCGUGCGUAGGUGGUUAUUUAAGUCCGUUGUGAAAGCCCUGGGCUCAACCUGGGAACUGCAGUGGAUACUGGAUGACUAGAAUGUGGUAGAGGGUAGCGGAAUUCCUGGUGUAGCAGUGAAAUGCGUAGAGAUCAGGAGGAACAUCCAUGGCGAAGGCAGCUACCUGGACCAACAUUGACACUGAGGCACGAAAGCGUGGGGAGCAAACAGG
rnacentral:rRNA from 1 species